AAAGAAAGAAAAAGGAGGAAAGAAACAGAAUAGAAGAAACGAAAUAGAGAAGGAAGGAAAAAAAAGAAAGAAAGGAAUGAAGAAAAGGGAAAAUUGAGGGUUUGAAGCUUGAAGUCUAAAUAGUUAACAUUGUACCGGAUAGCUCGGCUAAGUAAGAAAAAGGCAAAGUCGACGAGGGUUAGCUCGGAAAUUACGGAUUUGGAAGGGUACGGGAUUUAUCGGCUUUGCCGAUCAGGCACUUUAUGUGUCGUAUAUCAGACAUUUUAUGUG